GAACUCUUAAGACACUGUCUUGCGUUGACGUUCCUGGAGGAGACUUUAGGGCGUUGAAAGUGAUUGGCGCAUGACACAUUUAGGAAUACCCAAUAGAACGGGAAGUCUUAAUUUGUGUGGGCAGCCCCAAAACCUUUAAAAAUUUAAAC
rnacentral:misc_RNA from 1 species